ACGCUGGCGGCUGCCUUACACAUGCAAGUCGAACGGCAGCACGGGUGCUUGCACCUGGUGGCGAGUGGCGAACGGGUGAGUAAUACAUCGGAACAUGUCCUGUAGUGGGGGAUAGCCCGGCGAAAGCCGGAUUAAUACCGCAUACGAUCUACGGAUGAAAGCGGGGGACCUUCGGGCCUCGCGCUAUAGGGUUGGCCGAUGGCUGAUUAGCUAGUUGGUGGGGUAAAGGCCUACCAAGGCGACGAUCAGUAGCUGGUCUGAGAGGACGACCAGCCACACUGGGACUGAGACACGGCCCAGACUCCUACGGGAGGCAGCAGUGGGGAAUUUUGGACAAUGGGCGAAAGCCUGAUCCAGCAAUGCCGCGUGUGUGAAGAAGGCCUUCGGGUUGUAAAGCACUUUUGUCCGGAAAGAAAUCCUUGGCUCUAAUACAGUCGGGGGAUGACGGUACCGGAAGAAUAAGCACCGGCUAACUACGUGCCAGCAGCCGCGGUAAUACGUAGGGUGCAAGCGUUAAUCGGAAUUACUGGGCGUAAAGCGUGCGCAGGCGGUUUGCUAAGACCGAUGUGAAAUCCCCGGGCUCAACCUGGGAACUGCAUUGGUGACUGGCAGGCUAGAGUAUGGCAGAGGGGGGUAGAAUUCCACGUGUAGCAGUGAAAUGCGUAGAGAUGUGGAGGAAUACCGAUGGCGAAGGCAGCCCCCUGGGCCAAUACUGACGCUCAUGCACGAAAGCGUGGGGAGCAAACAGGAUUAGAUACCCUGGUAGUCCACGCCCUAAACGAUGUCAACUAGUUGUUGGGGAUUCAUUUCCUUAGUAACGUAGCUAACGCGUGAAGUUGACCGCCUGGGGAGUACGGUCGCAAGAUUAAAACUCAAAGGAAUUGACGGGGACCCGCACAAGCGGUGGAUGAUGUGGAUUAAUUCGAUGCAACGCGAAAAACCUUACCUACCCUUGACAUGGUCGGAAUCCUGCUGAGAGGUGGGAGUGCUCGAAAAAGAACCGGCGCACAGGUGCUGCAUGGCUGUCGUCAGCUCGUGUCGUGAGAUGUUGGGUUAAGUCCCGCAACGAGCGCAACCCUUGUCCUUAGUUGCUACGCAAGAGCACUCUAAGGAGACUGCCGGUGACAAACCGGAGGAAGGUGGGGAUGACGUCAAGUCCUCAUGGCCCUUAUGGGUAGGGCUUCACACGUCAUACAAUGGUCGGAACAGAGGGUUGCCAACCCGCGAGGGGGAGCUAAUCCCAGAAAACCGAUCGUAGUCCGGAUUGCACUCUGCAACUCGAGUGCAUGAAGCUGGAAUCGCUAGUAAUCGCGGAUCAGCAUAGCCGCGGUGAAUACGUUCCCGGGUCUUGUACACACCGCCCGUCACACCAUGGGAGUGGGUUUUACCAGAAGUGGCUAGUCUAACCGCAAGAGAGGACGGU
rnacentral:rRNA from 1 species